rnacentral:rRNA from 1 species
GAUGAACGCUGGCGGCGUGCCUAAUACAUGCAAGUCGAGCGAAUGGAUUAAGAGCUUGCUCUUAUGAAGUUAGCGGCGGACGGGUGAGCAACACGUGGGUAACCUGCCCAUAAGACUGGGAUAACUCCGGGAAACCGGGGCUAAUACCGGAUAACAUUUUGAACCGCAUGGUUCGAAAUUGAAAGGCGGCUUCGGCUGUCACUUAUGGAUGGACCCGCGUCGCAUUAGCUAGUUGGUGAGGUAACGGCUCACCAAGGCAACGAUGCGUAGCCGACCUGAGAGGGUGAUCGGCCACCCUGGGACUGAGACACGGCCCAGACUCCUACGGAAGGCAGCAGUAGGGAAUCUUCCGCAAUGGACGAAAGUCUGACGGAGCAACGCCGCGUGAGUGAUGAAGGCUUUCGGGUCGUAAAACUCUGUUGUUAGGGAAGAACAAGUGCUAGUUGAAUAAGCUGACACCUUGACGGUACCUAACCAGAAAGCCACGGCUAACUACGUGCCAGCAGCCGCCGUAA